rnacentral:lncRNA from 1 species
UAAAUUGAACUGAAGACAAAAAAUUUGGGGCAAAUUCGCAAAUAAUUGAAGAUCGAAUGACCAUAUUGAAUGCGCAAAGAAUGCAGAGGGGCUGGAAAGGAAGUUGUCCCUUCUCUAAAACGGCGCUGUUGCAAGUUGGACGAAAUUGAAAUUAAAAACAAAUUAAAGGCGAAUUUUAAAAAUAAAAUAAACUUAAUUGUAAAAAGUAUUAAAAGGCGGAGGGGCUAAAAGCACAAUUUACCCCUCCGCUCAAAAACACGCGGAUCCUAGGCCGAGUCGGGUCGACCUUCCCAAAACGACGCCGUUUUGGGCGUUUGGGGGCUCUCCAAAACGGUACCGUUUUGGUACCCUAUAAAAGCCCCUAUCUUUCCAAAAAAACUCAUUUUAAACCCUAUUUAAAAAAAAACAAAGUCCUUUAAAAAAAGCUCUCCCCCUUAGUUCUCCGGUGUCCAAUCCGGCCAUCGGCCGCUCAUCGGCCACCGCACUGGUCGUCGAUCUCCAACGUCGACACCGCCGUCUACAGUGGCCGACAAUGGGGAAAAUCCCUUAUUCGGUUCCUUCGGUCUCUCUAAACCCAAAUCUGGGUUUGGAAUUUUCAAAAUAUCGACAAAAACCGCAAAGAAGUCAAGGAAACCCUUCGGUUUCCGGCCACCGAUCCUCGGCGUGGCUCCCUCAAACGCUUCAGCGCCGUUUCAAAGUCCAAAGAAAGGUGGUUUCUUUCGUUUUUAAUUUUAUAUUAUUCGUUUAUAAAAAAUAAAACAAUAAAUAGAAAAAUAGAAAAAUAAAUAAAUAUUGUAAAUGUCAACCUUUUUGAUCGAUUUGCCCUCUGUAUUGAACUCUCGGUGUGAAAAUAAUAACUUUUUUUAUUUGAUUUUCCCGUGGUCCCCUUUACAGUAUUCUUAAUGGCUUUUUAUAGCCAUAAUAAAACAAAUAGUAUAGAAAGUAAAUCUUGUUUACAUCAAUUUGAUUAUCAAUCUUUUGAUUUUUCUUUCCAUAUACUGUUUUGUUUCUUUUCUUGUCGUGCAGGUGAAGCGGGGAUGCGGCUCUUGCGGAUCUUGGCUGCAGCGUGAGGCUUACCCCAGAAACCCUAGGGUUUCUGAAACUGCUUUGGGCCCGGGAUUUAUUUUGGGCCUCUGUUUAUUUCAGUUUGGGCCCUUAUAGGCCUGUUUGUAAUUGGACUCUGUAUUUAUUUUUCAUGUAGGCCGGGUAAAAUUUAGGUGUUACAAACUUUAUAUAGUUUUUUUAUGUUUAUUGUUUUUUAAAAAAUAAAAAAAUGAAAAAGGUUUAUUUUUGUUAUUAUUAUAUUUUUAAUGACUAUUUAAAUUUAAUUUAAAAAAAAAGACAGACCUAACAUACAAAUAGAUCAAAAGUUUAAAAGCAUUUAAUUGGAUGCCGCCAACAAUCAUGAGCCACCCUUUUUUCAUCUCAUUUAAAAAAUUAAUUAUUUCAUCUAGUUUCUAAACGUUUUAUAUAAUCACAUUUCAAUCCGGUGUCACCAAUAACAAUGGCAGAACCUCACAAAAAAAUAUUAUUUUUUAAAAUCAACCAAUAUUGGCCCAUUAUGAAGGAUGGUGCGUCAAUGGCAAUGACGACACCAAAAUUUACUGUUCAAAACAGGUAUUUUUAUAUAUAAUUUUGUACAUGAUUUUUUAUAAAUAAUUAAUUUAUUUGAGUUAUCUUUAAGAAAAAGCCAUGAAAGGUUGAAUGGUGACUUUGAGAGAUGGGGCAUCUCCUGCACAACACCCAUUUGUGAAGGCAGAACAAAUGGAUCGACUCAUGCAAAAACAAGUCAAAUUUUGGGCUACAAUAGCUGCUUCCAUAGACAUCUGGCCUUAAUUUCCUUACCCCCAAAAAAUAUUGAUUAAAAUAUAAAUAGUAUAGAUUAAAAUAUUUAAAGCAUAAACUUUAUUUUAUUAAAAUAAUUAAAUUUCAAGAAAAAAACCGACAAAUUUCAUUAAAAUAUAAAAGCAUAAUGUCAAAUUUAUCUCUUACCCCUUUUUUUUAAAGCUAAAUUUAAUUCUAAACAUUUUUAAAAAUAGUUAACUUUAAUCAUAAAUCUUUUGAAAAAGAAAUUGAAUUGAUGUUUUUUCUAAUAGAAAUAUUGAUUAAAAUGUUAAAAAUUUAAGUACCGCAGCCUUAUGAAAUUUCAUAUGUAAUUCAUGUUUUUUUUAAUUUUUUAUGAAAAUUUUGUAUUUUUUUAAAUUUUGAAUUUGGAAAUUUUUUUAAAAUUUUAAAAUAUUUGUUAACUUUAAGAUAUAAAAUAAAUAAUGUUAUGUUAGCAUAAAGUACACCUGAAAUAUUGUUAAAAAUUAAUAUUUUAAUAUUUUAAUAUCAAGCAACAAUGUUAGGGAUUCAACUGGGUUACCUUAAUGUGGACAUAUUAGGAGACUCAAAAACAGUUAUAUCUAAAUGUCAAAGUGAAAAUCGUGACAGAUCAGAAAUAGGAGCAAUCAUCAGUGAUAUUCAAAGUCUAAAAGGUUUCUUUCAAAAAAUCAGAUUCUCCUUCAUACCAAGGACUGGAAAUAUGGAAGCACACAGAAUAGCAAGAGAAACACUCAAGAAAGGAGAAGAAUUUUACCUGGAAGGAGAGACUUUACGUGCGUUAUGGGAGGAGCAUGAAUCAAUUCGUCUGGAUCAUUCGGAGCAAAGGGAGAGGAGAUAAGAUUUGUUUUGAAGUGGGUGUCGGUUGAAAUGAAAGAUGAAGAGCAGUAUAGUAAAAGCAAUCAGAAAAGCAGGAGAUCUGAGGAGAUUUGCUUUUACUGUUCAGUGGUCUUGGGCAGAGGAAAUGGAAGAACAAUUAUUGCAGACAACUGGAUCACGUUCGGCUGGGGGUUUUUGAUUUUUUUCGUUUGUGGGCUAAAAUGAUAACAGCCCGUUUCUUUGUAGUUUUAUUUAGGAUUUAUUGUUUUAGGUUCAGCCCAACUUGGACGAUUUUCAUUUUUUUCUUUUUUAAUCCAGUCGAAUUUUCAAAAAAAAAAAUUCUUUUAAAAGAUUAAUAAUGAAAUUUAGUUUAAAAAUAAGAGUUAAAUUGAUAAAAUGUAAAUAUUUAGCGUUAAAUUUAUGAUUAUGGUAAAUAUAAAAGGCAC